rnacentral:lncRNA from 1 species
AGAGAAAUUAAAAAUUCAAAGUAUGAUGACUUAAUUUGAAAAAAUUGAAAGAAAAUGCAAUUUUGAAAUGUAUAUUGUCAUAAUAGGUAAAAAAAAAUUGAAAAUAAGAUACAAUUUUCAAAAUACCAUGCCUUAAAAGAAAGAAAAUGAAAAAAACGAAAGUAAGAUGCAAUUUUCAAAAUGUGUUUUCUUAAUAUGAAGAAAAUGAAAGAGAAAUACAAAUUUCAAAGUAUGAUGUGUUUUGAAAAUUUAAAGAAAUUGAAAGAGAAACAGGUAAACUUUUGAAAAUUUAAUGCAAUUUUAUAAUGUAUAAUAUCUUAAUUGGUUAAAAAAUGAAAAUUUUGAAAAUAAAAUAAAAUUAUUAAAGUAUGAUGACUUAAUAUGAAAAAAUUGGAAAAAAAAUGCAAUUUUUAAAAAAUGAUAUCUUAAUGUGAAAAAGUUUGAAAGAUUAAUGCAAAUUUGUAGUGUAUAAUAUCUUAAUAGGAAAAACAAAUUGAAAAUUUUGUAAAUAAGAUGCAAUUUUUAAAGUAUGAUGACUUAAUAUGAAAAAAAUGAAAGAAAAAUGCAAUUUUCCAAGUAUAAUGACUUAAUAGGAUAAAUUUUGAAAAGUUAACGCAAUUUUGUGAUGUAUAAUGUCUUCUUAAUAGGAAAAAAAAUGAAAAAUACUUAAAAUAAGAUGCAAGUUUUAAAGUACAAUAACUUAAUAUGAAAAAAAAUGAAACAAAAAUGCAAUUUUCAAUGCAUGAUGACUUAAAAUGAAAAAAUUGGAAGAAAAAUGCAAUUAUCAAAACAUGAUGUCUUAAUGUUAAAAGGUUUGAAAUUUUAAUGCANUAAAAGGCUUGAAAUUUUAAUGCAAAUUUGUAAUGUAUAAUGUCUUAAUAGGUAAAACAAAUUGAAAUAAGAUGCACUUUUUAAAGUAUGAUGACUUAAUUUGAAAAAAUUGAAAGAAAAUGCAAUUUUUUAAAAUAUCAUGCAAUUUUGAAAGUUUAAUGCAAUUUUAAAAUGUAUAAUGUCUUAAUAGGAAAAAAAAAUUGAAAAUAAGAUACAAUUUUCAAAAUACCAUGCCUUGAAAGAAAGAAAAUGAAAAAAAUGAAAGUAAGAUGCAAUUUUCAAAAUGUGUUUUCUUAAUAUAAAGAAAAUGAAAGAGAAGUACAAAUUUCAAAGUAUGAUGUUUUGAUAGAAAAAGUUUAUUUUAUGCAAUUUUCAAAAUAUCAUGCCUUAAAAGAAAAAAAAAUUGACAAAAACGAAAGUAAAAUGCAAGUUUCAAAAUGUGUUUUCUUUAAAUGAAGAAAUUGAAAUAGAAAUGCAGUCUUAAUAGAAAAAAGUUUAUUUUAUGCAAUUUUCAAAGUAUAAUGUCUUAAGUGGUAAAAGAUUGAAAGAAAAAUACAAUUUCCAAAAUAUGAUGUCUUAAUACAAAAAAGUUUAUUUUAUGCGAUUUUCAAAAUAUCAUGCAUUUAAAAGAGAAAAAAAUGUAAAAAAUGAAACCAAAAUGCAAUUUUCAGAAUAUGUUUUCUUAAUAUGAAUAAAUUGAAAAAAAAAAUGCAAUUUUCAAAAUAUGAUUUUUUAAUAGAAAAAGUUUAUUUUAUGCAAAUUUCAAAAAAUCAUGCCUUAAAAGAAAAAAAACGAAAGUAAAAUGCAUGUUUCAAAAUGUGUUUUCUUAAUAUGAAGAAAUUGAAAGAGAAAUGAAAAUUUCAAAAUAUGAUGUGUUUUGAAAAUUUAAAGAAAUUGAAAGAGAAACAGGUAAAAUUUUGAAAAUUUAAUGCAAUUUUGUAAUGUAUAAUAUCUUAGUUGGUUAAAAAAUGAAAAUUUUGAAAAUAAAAUAAAAUUAUUAAAGUAUGAUGAAUUAAUAUGAAAAAAUUGGAAAAAAAAUGCAAUUUUUAAAAAAUGAUAUCUUAAUGUGAAAAAGUUUGAAAGAUUAAUGCAAAUUUGUAGUGUAUAAUAUCUUAAUAGGAAAAACAAAUUGAAAAUUUUGUAAAUAAGAUGCAAUUUUUAAAGUAUGAUGACUUAAUAUGAAAAAAAUGAAAGAAAAAUGCAAUUUUCCAAGUAUAAUGACUUAAUAGGAUAAAUUUUGAAAAGUUAACACAAUUUUGUGAUGUAUAAUGUCUUCUUAAUAGGAAAAAAAAUGAAAAAUACUUAAAAUAAGAUGCAAGUUUUAAAGUACAAUAACUUAAUAUGAAAAAAAAUGAAACAAAAAUGCAAUUUUCAAUGCAUGAUGACUUAAAAUGAAAAAAUUGGAAGAAAAAUGCAAUUAUCAAAACAUGAUGUCUUAAUGUUAAAAGGUUUGAAAUUUUAGUCCAAAUUUGUAAUGUAUAAUGUCUUAAUAGGUAAAACAAAUUGAAAUUUUUUUUAAAAUAAGAUUCAAUUUUUAAAGUAUGAUGACUUAAUUUGAAAAAAUUGAAAGAAAAUGCAAUUUUUUAAAACAAGAUGCAAUUUUGAAAUGUAUAAUGUCAUAAUAGGUACAAAAAUUGAAAAUAAGAUACAAUUUUCAAAAUACCAUGCCUUAAAAGAAAGAAAAUGAAAAAAAUGAAAGUAAGAAGCAAUUUUCAAAAUGUGUUUUCUUAAUAUAAAGAAAAUGAAAGAGAAGUACAAAUUUCAAAGUAUGAUGUUUUGAUAGAAAAAGUUUAUUUUAUGCAAUUUUCAAAAUAUCAUGCCUUAAAAGAAAAAAAAAAUGAAAAAAACGAAAGUAAAAUGCAAGUUUCAAAAUGUGUUUUCUUAAUAUGAAGAAAUUGAAAUAGAAAUGCAGUCUUAAUAGAAAAAAGUUUAUUUUAUGCAAUUUUCAAAGUAUAAUGUCUUAAGUGGUAAAAGAUUGAAAGAAAAAUACAAUUUCCAAAAUAUGAUGUCUUAAUACAAAAAAGUUUAUUUUAUGCGAUUUUCAAAAUAUCAUGCAUUUAAAAGAGAAAAAAAUGUAAAAAAUGAAACCAAAAUGCAAUUUUCAGAAUAUGUUUUCUUAAUAUGAAUAAAUUGAAAAAAAAAAUGCAAUUUUCAAAAUAUGAUUUUUUAAUAGAAAAAGUUUAUUUUAUGCAAAUUUCAAAAAAUCAUGCCUUAAAAGAAAAAAAACGAAAGUAAAAUGCAUGUUUCAAAAUGUGUUUUCUUAAUAUGAAGAAAUUGAAAGAGAAAUAAAAAUUUCAAAGUAUGAUGUGUUUUGAAAAUUUAAAGAAAUUUAAAG